AACGAACGCUGGCGGCAGGCCUAACACAUGCAAGUCGAACGCAUCGCAAGAUGAGUGGCGCACGGGUGAGUAACACGUGGGAAUGUACCCUUUGGUUCGGAAUAACGUCUGGAAACGGACGCUAAUACCGGAUGAGCCCUACGGGGGAAAGAUUUAUCGCCAAAGGAGCAGCCCGCGUCUGAUUAGCUAGUUGGUGGGGUAAAGGCCUACCAAGGCGACGAUCUGUAGCUGGUCUGAGAGGAUGAUCAGCCACACUGGGACUGAGACACGGCCCAGACUCCUACGGGAGGCAGCAGUGGGGAAUAUUGGACAAUGGGCGGAAGCCUGAUCCAGCCAUGCCGCGUGAGUGAUGAAGGCCUUCGGGUUGUAAAGCUCUUUCGCACGCGACGAUGAUGACGGUAGCGUGAGAAGAAGCCCCGGCUAACUUCGUGCCAGCCGCCGCAGUAACAC
rnacentral:rRNA from 1 species